UGACAAGAAGUGACAACUGGAGCCCUAACACUAGCAGAUUGGAUUCCAUUGAAUGGAUAGAAAAGAAUCAGCAUAGCUUGACAUUAUAGAUGGGGAUACAAUGAAUUGAAUGUGGUUAAACUUGUGAUUGUUGUCAUACAAAAACAUAACUGAAAACUGAAAUUCAUGUUAAGGAUACAAAUGGUACACACAAUUUACAAUCUUAUUUUGUUGUUUGGUACUGGUACUAAUACUGUCAUCUAGCUAUAAGAUUAUGAUACUACAUUUGUAACAGUUUAGCCUAGUGAUUGCCACUGAUUGUUGUUGUUAUUCUUUGAUGUACAAAAGUUAUAUAUGGUAUAUAUAUGAAUAAAACGGAAAAUAUAAAUUACAAUAUUUACAGCGUCAUUUUAUUAUACAUUCAUGAAAGUAAGAAACUGCAAAAAGAACCCACCAAAAAUGAAUAAAAAAUAUAUGAAUUU
rnacentral:misc_RNA from 1 species